UGCAAGAAAAAAAAAAUCGUUUGCUUGCUCAUCUUUGGUCUCAUGUUCUGAAAUUAAUUUUGACUUGAAAUUUCAGAUUUCGGCUUCAAAGGCUUGCAGAGAAAGCAGAAAACAGAACGAUUUAUUUUCAGAUUUUCCCUCUGUCGGAUUUCUUCAAGUGUGUUUAUAGGAGCGAGCUUCAUUAUCAAGAAGAAAGGCCUCAGAAAAGCGAGCUUCAUUAUCAAGAAGAAAGGCCUCA